UACGGAGGGUGCGAGCGUUGUCCGGAAUCACUGGGCGUAAAGGGCGCGUAGGCGGCGCGGGUAGUCAGUCGGUGAAAGUUCAGGGCUCAACUCUGAAUCGGCCGGUGAUACUCCCGUGCUCGAGCACUGUAGAGGCAGGUGGAAUUCCGGGUGUAGCGGUGGAAUGCGUAGAGAUCCGGAAGAACACGGUGGCGAAGGCGGCCUGCUGGGCAGUAGCUGACGCUGAUGCGCGACAGCGUGGGAGCAACAGG
rnacentral:rRNA from 1 species